ACGAACGCUGGCGGCGUGCUUAACACAUGCAAGUCGAACGGAAAGGCCCUGCUUUUGUGGGGUGCUCGAGUGGCGAACGGGUGAGUAACACGUGAGUAACCUGCCCUUGACUUUGGGAUAACUUCAGGAAACUGGGGCUAAUACCGGAUAGGAGCUCCUGCUGCAUGGUGGGGGUUGGAAAGUUUCGGCGGUUGGGGAUGGACUCGCGGCUUAUCAGCUUGUUGGUGGGGUAGUGGCUUACCAAGGCUUUGACGGGUAGCCGGCCUGAGAGGGUGACCGGCCACAUUGGGACUGAGAAACGGCCCAGACUCCUACGGGAGGCAGCAGUGGGGAAUAUUGCACAAUGGGCGGAAGCCUGAUGCAGCAACGCCGCGUGCGGGAUGACGGCCUUCGGGUUGUAAACCGCUUUCGCCUGUGACGAAGCGUGAGUGACGGUAAUGGGUAAAGAAGCACCGGCUAACUACGUG
rnacentral:rRNA from 1 species